UCCCUCCCUCACGCGCUCAGAUCCGCCCACCCUCCCUCACUCUUCGCGCUCAGAUCCGCCCGCCCUCCCUCACUCUUCGCACUGGAAACCCUAGACGCCGGGCCAUGGUGACAGACGGCGACGACGACGACGGUGGCUACCUCGACGACGCCGGUGCGGCCAGCAGCAGAAGCACCACCAUGGACUCCCUUCCUCCAACCCUAGCCGUCCGGCCAUGUUGGCGGCGGCCAGAUCCGCGCCAGGAUAGGACCUACUUGUGCUCGUGAGGAGAGGCACGCCAUGGAGCAGCUCGUCAAGGACAGAUAUGCAUCCAUGGUGAAGUUACUAUAUAAGUAUAGGGUCAAGCACUGCCCCGACAUACAUCCUAUUUUGAGUUUUUCCUCAAAGUCCCAUGGCCGUGUUGCUGGUAGAGUUGGAAGCACCGCCCUUGAUUUUGAAAUUGGAGAAGGAAGACGGAGAGUUCAGUACAGUAAGGAUGCUCUAUAAUAUAGGAAUCCAGCUGAAUAUUCUUGCUUCUAAGGUCUCCUGUGUUGGAUGUGUUCUCAGUUUGCCUCUUUAUUUCCCUCUUUAUUUCUCCUUUUGCCUCUGCACUACUGCCAAAACUUCAUUUAUUUAUCUCCUUGAGUGAAAUAAUAAUAGAAGAUAGUAUUAACUACUGAUUCAAGCAGUAAUGGGUAUGAAGCAAAUGGCUCUUGCAUAUGUUCACUGUUUAUCCAAUACAGAAACCAGAAUAUGAAUUGUUAUGAGAAAAUUGCAGUUGAUUCUAUUUGAUAACAUGCAGCAACCAUGGAUUCAAGUUCAUGUAAUCUUGGCUACUUUUCAUCUCAUGCAACAGUUUCACUAGUUUGUGUACGAUUUGUGUUGCAUGUUAUUACAUAACCAGUUAUCUUAAUAUUCUUUUUGUUUUACUAUUUUGGAAGUUUUUUCUUUGGGCCUCUGAUUUCUCAAGAUUUAGAUGAUAAGGGGGUGUCUUAUUCAGAGUGUCAAGUUCUUGACAAGUUUAUUUGUUUGACAUAAAAAAAUGGCUUUAGUACGAUGAAUUUCAAAGUCUGAACCUUUUUCCUUUUUGGUUAAUUGUUGUGGGUGGGCGCUGUCCAUGAACAAAAUAGACAAGGACGAUGAGCAGUACACGACCCCACGGCCGAGCCGACGAUCAACCACCAGUGGGCAUGUGAAUAAGGGAUGGAGCAGCAACGAUGAUUGGUUGCACGGAGCUACAGUCAACCUGAUGUGGUGUUUUAAUCUCCUCGACAUAGCGAGUAGUUGUGUGUGGUUUCCUUUCCAGUAGCAUAGUUGGACUUUAGCAUGUGUGUGUAGAGCUGAUGGUCGUGAGGCUAAUUCCUGGAGUAGUACAUGACUUGAAGAUGCCCAGCUAGAUGUGAUACUUUGUGAUGGUUUAGUCUACUUUGUGAUCUCAUAUGCAACACUUUGUGACACCCUAUGAUAUAUAU